AAAGUCGUAACAAGGUUUCCGUAGGUGAACCUGCGGAAGGAUCAUUAUUGAGUAUAAAGGGGAUUAUUGGUUUUAAACUAGUAGUCCCUUCUUUUCUCAACCCUUUUGUUAUUAUUUCUUAGUUGCUUUGGUAGUAAGACUUGUCUUCUACCAAAGAAAACUUAUAAACACUUUGUUAUCCAACAAUUGGAAAUCUAUUGUCUGAUUUAUUACUUAAUGUAUAUAAAACUUUUAACAACGGAUCUCUUGGUUCUG
rnacentral:misc_RNA from 1 species